UACGGAGGGAGCUAGCGUUGUUCGGAAUUACUGGGCGUAAAGCGCACGUAGGCGGCUUUGUAAGUUAGAGGUGAAAGCCCGGGGCUCAACCCCGGAAUUGCCUUUAAGACUGCAUCGCUUGAAUCCAGGAGAGGUGAGUGGAAUUCCGAGUGUAGAGGUGAAAUUCGUAGAUAUUCGGAAGAACACCAGUGGCGAAGGCGGCUCACU
rnacentral:rRNA from 1 species